rnacentral:rRNA from 1 species
UACAGAGGAGCCAAGCGUUGUCCGGAUUGACUGGGCGUAAAGCGCACGCAGGCGGAUGCGCGCGUGGGGUGUGAAAUCUGGCCGCCUAACGGCCAGGCGCCAUCCCAUACGGCGCGUCUGGAGUGAUGCAGAGGUCGAUGGAAUUGCCGGUGUAGUGGUGAAAUGCGUAGAGAUCGGCAGGAACACCCAGGGGGAAACCAGUCGACUGGGCAUCUACUGACGCUGAGGUGCGAGAGCGUGGGGAGCGAACCGG